rnacentral:misc_RNA from 1 species
UGUUCGAAGACGAUAAAAUUCAAUGCCCUGAUAUCCUCCGAUCCAACCUACAAAGUCAACCAGUAUUAACAUAAAAUCUCACAUAAUAGCAGAAAUGGUUGAAAUUAUACAUAGGUAUUGUUUCAUUGAGUCACACAUCACAUAAAUUACAAUUGAAAAUAAGAAUAGAUUUUGAAAUGUGAAACCAAGUUGGAUGGGCUUUUCAUUUAUUUAUUUCUAUUUAUUUAUUAUUUUAAAUGAAGACAAU